AUUGAACGCUAGCGGGAUGCCUUACACAUGCAAGUCGAACGAGUGGCGGACGGGUGAGUAAUAUAUCGGAACGUGCCCAGUAGCGGGGGAUAACUACUCGAAAGAGUGGCUAAUACCGCAUACUCUUGGAGCGGCCGAUAUCGUAUUAUCUAGUUGGUGGGGUAAAGGCUCACCAAGGCGACGAUCCGUAGCUGGUUUGAGAGGAUGACCAGCCACACGGGAACUUAGAAACGGUCCAGAUUCCUACGGGAGGUAGCAGUGGGGAAUAUUGAAAAAUGGGGGAAACCCUGAGGCAGCCAUCCCGCGUGUAUGAGAAGGCCUUCGGGUUGUAAAGUACUUUUAGCGGGGAAGCGGUAUCUGCAGAAUAAGCACCGGCUAACUACGUGCCAGCAGCCGCGGUAAUAC
rnacentral:rRNA from 1 species